AAUAGGUUGCGCCCAACUGCUAUUACAUAACACAAAUUUUCAUCAAAUUAUCAUUGUUAACUCUAUGUACAUUUUUUGUUUUGGUUUGUGUGAUUGGACAUUGAAAUUUGAAAAGGACACUAAAUCCAAAGGUUAUGUAACCCACCAUAUCCAAAACCAAUUACUCAUAUAAUGCUUCCCCUUUUCAAAGUCUUGAGAUUCAGUAGAAAAUAAACUUUACUAUAAACACUUCAUUGUUACUAUACUUAAAGCUAAUUUAAUCCUCAAAUAAAAGUACACUUAUUAAUUUAUCAUUGCUUAAAUUGUGUGUAUAUUUUUUGCAAUUGCAUCAUCUGAAAACUUAUCAAAGGGGUUUUUGCAUUGUUAACCUUUAGCAAAUACAAUUCAAUUGCGUUACAAUUUCUUUCCUUUGUUUCUCACUGAUUGAUAAUAAUAACAACCAAUUGCUUUACAAUAGUUACAUAAAUUCGAUCAAACUACAAUUCAAGGAAUUUCAAAUAGGAAAAUAAGAAAAAAGCAGAUGAAGAAACCAAUCUCAAUUACAGAAAUAAAAGAGAAGUAUAAAAGAAUAAGAAGAAGGAGAAACACUUCCUGCUUUGUGCUUUCUUUAGCAAUCUGUAACCGGUGCUUUUUGGUUAAUUAAUUGCAUGUAUAUGUGUAUCCGUUUUUAUAACAGGUGUUUUGAUUUGUAACUGCUGCCUUUGUUUGAAAUGAACGUGAAGCAAAAAAGUGGUUACAAAAGGGUAUUUUUGGAAGCUAAUUAGGCUACACCAAAACAAAAGUAUUGCCUUUAUUAAUAGGUAUAGAUAUUUUUUUGUUUGCCACUAGGAAGCCUACAACUAAUUACCUAUAUUUUGCAAAUAUAAAAGUCAAUUUGUUUCUUCUUUCUUCUCCUUAUUAUCUUAUUCUCUUUAUUUUUUAAAUAAAUUGCACAAAAAAAUCAUCGGUCAGACUUCUAAUAUCAUUAGUUUAAUGGGUUUCAUGGUCAAUUUUCUAUUAAAUAAUAAGAAAAAACAGUGUAUUAUAGCAUAAAUAUAGGAAAACAGUUUAUAUUAAUAGAAACGAUACAUUAAUUUCUUCAAAAAAGAAACAAUACAUUAAUAUUAAUAUUUUUAAAAUAAUAAUUUGUUUUCAAAAUUCGAUCAUAUCAACUUUCUCAUAUCGGUGUACAUAAAAUUUAAUUUUGGAGAUAUAAGCACAUGGAGAAACAAUAUAGUGAUGUUAAUAUUUUGAAAAUGGUCACGAGGUUUCCAAAUUUUAUCAUAUCGACUAUCACAUAUCGUUAAAUAAAAAAUUUCUGCUGCAUAUAUAAGCUUAUAAAAUCAUCAACGAGUGCGGUGCAAAUAUUUAUCGGUGUUUUAAAUAUAAAAUAAAAUGUUAUUUAAUUGAAAUACUACAUUGAUGUUGAUAUUUUGAAAAUAGUCGUGAGUUUUUAAAAUUUUAUCAUUUUGAAAAUAGUCACGAUUUUUCAAAAUUUUAUCGUAUCGAUUUUCUCAUAUAUGUAAGCAAAAUUUUAUUUAUGCAUAUAUAAGCACAUAAAAUCUGCAACGGGUGCGGUGCAAACAUUGGGCGGUGUUUUGGAUAUAAAAUAAAAAGUUAUUCAAUAGAAACACAAUAUAAAUGUUUAUAUUUUGACAAUAUUAAUGAGUUUCCACGAUUUUAUGAUAUCAACUUUUUCAUAUAUUUAGAUAAAAAUUUGUUUCUUCACAUAAAACACAUAUAAUCUGCAACGCGUGCGGUGCAAACAUUGAACGAUGCAUAUAAAAUAAAAAGUUAUUUAAUAAAAACACUACAUUGAUGUUGAUAUUUUGAAAAUGGUCACGAGUUUCCAAAAUUUUUUCAUAUCAAUUUUUUUAUAUAUGUACAUAAAAAAUUAUUUAUGCAAAUAUAAGCACCUAAAAUCUACAACGAGUGCGGUGCAAACAUUGAACGGAAUUUUGCAUGUAAAGUAAAAAUAUAUUCAAUAUAAACACUAUAUUAAUGUUAUAUUUUGACAAUAUUAAUGAGUUUCCACAAUUUUAUCAUAUAAACUUUAUCAUAUAUUUACGUAAUUUUUUUAUCAUAUAAACACAUAAAAUCUGCAACGGACGCGAUGCAAAUGUUGAACGACGUUUUGCAUAUAAAAUAAAAGUUUUUUUUGUUUUUUAAAGGAACAUAUAAAAUAAAAGUUAUUUAAUAGAAACAUUAAAUUAAUUUUGAUAUUUUGAAAAUAAUCAUUAGUUUUAAAAAAAUUAGUUUAUUAACUUUCUCAGAUAUGUAUAUAAAAAUUUGUUUUCGUAUACAUUAGAAAAUAAAAUCCAUAACAUAUACAAUUCAAAUAUUUUACUAUAUAUAAGAAAAAAAGUUCAAUAAAAAUAUUAUGUUAAUGUUGAUAAUUUUUAUUUAAUAUUUUUAAACAUUUGACAAUAUUAACAAUGUAAUUAUUUUUUAUAAAAUUGGCACAAUGUCACGUGAUCCGUGUGGAAGCACGAGUCUAUUACUAGUUAGUAAUAAAAGUAGAUAUUUAAAUUUGUUGUGUGGAAUUGAAAAAAUAGUUGUCCGUAAUUAUCAUGAUAAUAUAUUGGCUUUUAAAAAUGAAUAUUACGAAAUUUUGUUGGAUUUCAAUUUUUAUAUAUUAAAUUUUUUUAUAAAGAAUUUUCUUAUGUAUUGUUAGUAGAUAAAAAAACAAAAUAAAAUUUUAAAAUUAAAAAUAUUUCAAAGACUUAUUAAUUUUGACUCAAAAAAAUAUUUAUGUGUGGGAAAUUGUUAUAUCCGUGGAUAGUCCAAUAAUAUUAUUUUUUAAAAAAGAAAUAAAUUGAUUUCAUAGUUAUUUGAAAAAAAAAUUUAGAUUUGUGAUGAUCAUUAUCUAUAAUUUUUUUAAUAAAUUAAUUAAUUUCAUAUUUAUCCGUGAAAAUUUGUAGCAGUUUGCAAAAUGAUCAUGUUUUUUUUUUUAACAAGAUCAUGAGUUUUAGGGUCCGUUUGGUUCGAGAAUUAGGAGAGGAGGGGAGGGGAGGGAUUUUUACGGAGGGGAGUGGAGGGGAGAUAUUUUUAAUUAAAAGUGUGUUUGAUUCACAAGGGGAGGGGAGGGAUUUUAACAGUAUUUUACCAUUUUACCCUUAAACUUAAUUAAAUAAAAGAAACUGUUUGUUUUUACGAUUUCAGAAACUGACAAAGACAAGCACACAUCUAAGCCGCUAUUUUAUCUUAAAUAAUAAUACUACGAUAUAGACAAUGAGAUGAUGAAAUUACUCACAAUUCACUUUGGAGGAAGCCUCAAGCAGUCGUUGACAACAACAAAAUAGUAGUAAGAGCGGUUUGUACAUCUAACAAAUAAGAGUGGUAGAUUAUAUAAUAAUAAAAAUUGUUACAAGGAAAAUAUAACAAAAUAAUAAUAAUAAUUGUUACAAGAAUAAGAUAACCUAAUAAUAAUAAUAAGAUUGUUACAAAAAUAAUAUAAUCUAAUAAUAAUAAAAGUUGUUACAAGGUUAAUAUUGAGAUUUGAAAUUAAUUUAAGUAUAAUUAUGACAAUGCAAUAAAAUUUUAAAGAGAUUUGCUCCCCUCCCUUCCCCUUCCCUUCCCUUCUAAAAAUUGAACCAAACACUUCAAAUUAAAAAUCUCCCCUCCCCUUCCCUCCCCUCGCCUCCAAAACUCUACAAACGUACCUUUCCUUUCAGCAGACACGUGACGAAUUAAUUUUUUCCUUUCCCCUGUUUAACAGUGGCCGUACCUCUCUCACUCAAAACCAUAUCCGCCGCCACCGUAACUUCCUUUUUCCGGCCACCUCACGAUGGCGGUUUCACCGAUCAGUGUACUACCGGAUGAACUGCUGAUGGAAAUCCUUUCAAGAGUUGAUUCAAGUAAUCAUCUGGAUUUGAGGUGCGUUUGCAACUUGUGGAAAUCGUUAAUUCGUGAUCCUCAGUUCAUGAAGAAUCACAUUCUCAGAUCUAUUACCGGCUUUUCUUCUCUUAGUUACAAGAUCGAGGGACACUUUAUUGCUUUCAAAUCACAUAUUGUAUAUAACCCCCCGCUUGUGCCGAAUGUAGAAGAAGAUGUUGAUGUUGAUGUUGAUGUUGAUGUUGAUGGUGCUGAUUCUGGAGAGGGAGAGGGAGAGGGAGAGGGAGAGGGAGAUGAUGAUGAUGAUGAUGAUGAGGAUGAUGAUGAGGAGGAUGAGGAGGUGUUGAGAUGGAAAGCGUUGAUUAAACUAUCUAAUCUUGAACGAAAAGAGGAACAAUUGAAGAAGAGAAAAAAUAUGGAUAAAAUCGAUGAGAAAACGAUGAUAAUCAGGAUGGCUAAGUUGGAUAUUUUUUUGGUGGUUGUUAGAUAUAUGAAAAGUUUUAUGCUGAAUUAUCUCAAAUCUCUAGAGGAUAGAGAUAUAUUAAACGAGAACUUGGAAAGUCUCAGAGUUGAAAUGCAAACUAUGGAGGAUAGACUCAUGUGUCUCAAAAUCUUUAUCAAGUUUUACCUCAGGGCAAUAUCAAUAUCAAUGUUUAGUCUAGUGCAGCCCCUUUGGAACUUUAGGUUAGGAGAUUGAAUAUUUUACAAACUGAUUUUGCUGUAUUUUUAUGGAGCUUUCAAAUGAUUUGAAAAUUCUAUACAUGCCUUACAUGUAAACUAUUUGAAGGGUUUUUAUGCAGCUAUCUAGAAUUAGGAUUGAUUCUACUAUAAUAUGAAAAUGGUAACUUUGUUAUUAAUAUUGAUUUUGUAUUGAUUUCCUUUCGUUUUGGUCGAACAAGUGAAUGUUGAAAUUCAAACUCUUACCGGACUUGUUCAGAUGAGCUGCAAUCGUGAAAAGAAUCAUAAAUUGGGUCAUCUUAUAAACAUGAAGUAGGCUGGUUUUUAUUUCUGUAUUGGUUACAUUUCUGCAUUUAGUUCAACAUCUAAUGAAAAUGAAUUAGGUUGGUUUUUUAUUUUAUAUUGUUUUUUAUAACAAUACUAUUUCAGGUUGUCUGCCCUCAUUUUUAAAGUUAGAAGUAUGAAAAACUCUAUUUGUUGAUAUUCUGAAAAUUUCUAUUGAUGUUAACCUCUGGCCCAAAAUUUUCUCUGGAAUCAAUGGAAUGUCUAAUAUGCUUUAAGGAAAACUAUC
rnacentral:lncRNA from 1 species